GACCAUACUUGGGGCAUGUGGAGGUUCCCAGGCUAAGGUCUAAUCGAAGCUGUUUCUGCUGGCCCACGCCAGAGCCACAGCAACAUGGGAUCUGAGCCGUGUCUGCGACCUACACUGCAGCUCAUGGCAAUGCCGGAUCCUUAACCCACUGAGCGAGGCCAGGGAUUGAACCUGCAACCUCAUGGUUCCUAGUCGGAUUCAUUUCCUCUGUGCCACAAAAAAAAGCAUGAGUUCUAAAAGUCAAUUUUUAUUUACUCAUAUUUCUAAAAGGAUAAGAGGUGUUAUGAAUAUUCUUAAAUUACUCUUGGUGGCCCCAGGGAAAAGAUUUAAGAGUAAAAGAAGUGAUUAAAUUGGUGUCUCUUAGACAGAGUUACCAUUUGUAUGGGGCUAGAACAAAUGAUCUCAUAUAAAUACACUUCUGUCAAUGGCUUCUAUAGGUUAUUACUAUAUUUUUAAUAUCUGGAUUUCUAUAAUAGCAAGUCUGUUUAUUUUUAAGUAUUUCCUGUGGUGCAUAGGAAUACUAAAUUGUGGAUUUUGUAGAAAGCUAAAACAUGUAGGAAUUCUUACAAUUUUAUAAACUCUUUGACUAAACAACUGAACAAACAAGUCAAAAAAAUAUAUUAUUGACCAUCUACCUGGUAGGUAGGUAAGCUAAUUCCUCCUCAGACAAGGCUUACAAGCUAGAGCAGAAUACAUAUAUGAAACCAAGUUUAAAGUCUGCUUCUGGAUAUAGAACUAACCAUCCCUGGGCAUUUGUGAGAGAUCUCUAAAUGUGACAUAUAAGUUGAUACUUGAUUAAUGGGCAGGAAUGAGUUAGGAAAGGAGAAAGAGGGAAGUAAACAGGAUUUCAGGCAGAAGAAAGAAUAAGGCAAAGAUCUUGAGGCAGAGAAGAACCUUUUAUGUCCAAGAAAUGAAGUCCAACAGGGCUGGUGCAUAGAUGCGAGCCAAGAUUGGGAAAAAAGGAAAUAAACAGGGCAUAGGUCAUUGCCUCCUACAAUGGUAUAUUAUGUGGAAAUUAUGAAGCUCAAAACACUGCAGGAUUCCCUCAAAAGGAUCUCCAAAUGGGUUAUGUCAGUAAAUGUCAACUUCAAUCAAAUCCUCUUUCUCUUUUGCUUUCUUCUUCUGGAAAGCUACCUGCUCAAUCUCCCCACCAUACUUGCAGUUAAGCUGUGCCAUAUCUCUGGGAAAUGAGAUGUUAGAAAGUCCCAGUGAAGGGCAUCACUUUUGAAUAGAAGCCAAAGCCCUAUUAGGAGAAAUAAUCUUUAUUCUUAUUCCAUUUUGCCUUUCUGCAUGUUUGGUGUCUAGAAGGUAGAUAUGAGGCUUGAAGAUAUAGCAGCCAUCUUGCAACACGAGGAUAAAGCCCUGCAUUUUAAGGAUGGUGAUAACAAAAUACAGAAAGAGCCCGAGACUGGUGGGUGGAGGAUUGGACUUAUUUUGCAGUCGAUGUCACUAGCAGCAUGUAGUACAGUGCACUGCACAGAUUGUGUGGUCUUAUGCACAUGCCUUGCCUGCACUCCCAUUAGCAGGGGCCAUUGAGCCACCUUAUCAGUACUGAGCUGUCUAUUCCCAUACUUACUGAAGCCGUCAAAGUUGAGUGUUCUGAUAACUGCUACCAAUCACAUUUCUAACUUUCAGUAAUGUUAUAUUUCACCAAUUUAUGGGUCAAAUAUUUAUGUCAAAAGCCUGUUUAUUACCUGUAGAAAAAAUAUUUUUGGCAGUCUGCUCUUUUCUCUCUGUGUGAAUGUGUAAUUACUGUCUUGGAGUACUGCUUUCUACCCCCAGGCAGUGUUCUUCUAAAGAAUUCAAAUGUAAUAUCCUCGGAGUCCGCCCUUCUUCAUUUCAGGAAAAAUUAGUUCAUCACUUCUAGGGCUCCUCAGGAACUCUGGGUUACUGACCACUUAAUCACAUUCUCUUACAGUUCUUUGUAUCUCCUCUCCAUCUUUCCUGUCAUCUUGAGAGCUCCACAAGGUACUGUUCUUAAAUUUACUGCUUAUCCCUCUUGCCUAGAAUGUUAUACUGUUAACUUAGAAUACUAGUGCUAAUAGUAAACACGUGUUAUUCUUCAAGUUACAUUAAAACUUUAUUUUAAUAAGCACUUAUAUAGUGCUUACCAUAUUCCAGACCCUGUAGAUUUGGUGAAUUUAAUACUUAUAACUGCCCAUUGAGGUAGGCACUAUUAUCAUCUUAAUUUUAUAGAUGAGGGAAUUGUGGCCUAGAAGACUGAGGUAACCAUCUCAAAGUCACAGAUCUAGUAAGUUGCAGAGCUUGGAUUAAAACACAGAUAAGGGUGUUUGUGAUUGAAAUAGAAUCUCAGAAUUAAAUUUCAUAUCAAGGGAACCUUGGAAAUAAUCCGAUCUCUUCAUAUACAAGCAGAUACUGUAUAUGACAUAGAGGGACAUGGAGAUAGCAGGUAACUUAUUAAAUGUCAGAAUGUUAACUGGUGUUAAGAACUGAGACUCUGGUUCAGAUCUCCUGAUUUACAGAUUAACACUGCUUCAUUGGCUCCCAGAUUCAUUUUCUAUCAAAAUCAUCUGGGAAACUUGUGAUAAUCCAGAAACCACUUUCCAAACAUUCUGAUUUGAAAUAAUAGAUUUUUAAAAAUACUCUCAAGGUAAUUUAGUUAUAAUACAGAAUUGGAAAUAGUGAGUCUGCAGUAGAUGUGGAUCUGUCUGGGUUCAUUGAUAAAAUAGAACCACCACAACUGUUAUGGGAAUAAGGCAUGUGAUUUACAUAUUAGGACUUACGUUAAUUAGGGAGAAGCUGGGAUAAUAAAGGUCUGAAAAAGUAGAGAUCAGAGAAACAGCCAAUAAUGACUUUGACCAGAAGCACCAUGUAUGCAUGAGUAUGUGAAGUAAAUAGAACUUAGGGGGAAAUCUGAGAACCUGCCAUGAAGAAGACAAGAGUGUCUGAAGAGGUAUGAAAAGUCUUUGCGCCUAUGUGCCACAACUUUCUAGGGAUAGUGGCUCUCACUUCACUUCUGUUUCCCAAAUUAUAUGGAAGUUCCUCUCAUCGCAAACUCUAACCCACAGUCUUAUACACAAGUUUGAAGAUUCUGAGAAUGUAGUUGCUCCUUUAGAAGGGAGAUUGGUGGUGCUGAGUGAACAACAGAUGCAGUGCCCCCAUGAUCCUUGUCCCCUUUGCUCUCAUCCUUGUGUGGUCCCCUCCCUUUAAGAGUGGGCAGGACUUGUGACUUGUUCCUGUGAAAUAUGGCAACACUAAUGGGAAGGAUGUGAUUACAUUUACAUGAUUACAUAAGGUGGCAGUACCUCUGUUGCUGGAGUCUUUUCAUCAUUAGCUUUAAAGAAGCAAGUUGCUAUGAAUUCUAAAACUUCAAGAAAAUGAAUGUUGCCAACGACUAUGCAAGUUGGCAAGUUGCUUUCCCCUAAGUGAGCCUCCAAAGGGACCCCACCCCAGGACUUUGUAACUUUUUCAAGUGAGAACUUGAAGCAGAGAAUCUAGGCAAGCCAUAUCCAGAUCCUUAACUCCUCAAAACUGUGAGAUAAUAAAUGUGUAUUAUUUUAAGCCUAUAUGUUUGUUGUAAUUUAUUACAUAGAACUAGAUAACUAAUAUCAGUCUGGUACAAAUACCCCAAGGAGCAGAUUGCUGAUAUUAAUGAAACCUGAAAUGUGGACUUUAGCUUUGGGAACAAGGAGUGAGCAGGAAGGGAUUUUCAUUGGACAGGGAAAAACGAUGAACUGUUUUACUGAGUGGCAACAUUUUUUUGGUAAAACCAAGCCUGCUCUGACUUAGAAGAAAGUAUAGAUAGUGAAUAAUCUUGUAACUUUGAUUUAGGUGCUAUUGAGGCAAAAUAAUGAAAGUGGGAGCCUGUUGCAACUCACUGCAUUUGACAAGGCACUCAAGAAAGAAAUAAGCUUGGGGGAAUAAUUGUCUGCAAACAGAAUUUAGAGUGAGUAUAAAUAAUUCAGAAAUUGCAGUGUUGUAAAUGACACCACUUCUCAACAAAUCCAAAGUGUGGCCAUUAUGGCAUAGCUUCAGUUUAAAUAACAAAUCAGAGCUGUGGCUGAUGCAGCCUUUGUUCAGGCCUGAGAAGAGUUUAAAAGGAUAUUUAAUAGAUUCUUUCAAUUGGAAAAAAAAGCUUCCAGAAAACUUAAGGAUGUGGUUCUACAAAAGCCCAAAGGAUCCAAAGAACCCAUAAUUCAAUCUGUAGAAGGAGGCAUGUCUUAAAAAAUGACUGUGGGGGGAUUUGAGCACAGGUAAUUGACUAGGAUCAAAUAUGUAGAGAACCGUAUUUGAGACACAAGUAUUUGAGAGAACUGUGUUAACAAAAUCUUUGUCGGCCUAAAUGAAAAGGGUCAGAGAUGUAUUUGAGAUGCAGAAGGACCUCUUUUUCCCACCAAAAUGCAUCUGUUCUUCCUUGCCCUUUUCAGAGGUAUAUGUCCAAAAUGUUGAAAAAGGAAGGACCUCUCAGAGAGCAGAGCCAAGAACUAUGGGAAGCAGUAGACCAGGGAGCUAUACCUGGUGGAAUAACCAGAGCCCAAUGAAGAAAAAUGACCCUCCUCAGAGUACAGCAAACUUGCAACAUUUUCCAGCAGUAUUUCAGAAAUUUGGGGGUACAGUGACUGUUAAGGUGCUGAGAAGUCAUCUGCAUUUUAGAUGGAAAUGUUAUCAUAAUUAUUCUAUCCCUCUUCACAUAGGAUGUUGGGAAUGUGGGGGUCUAAAGUAGAGUGUGGUAGAUUAGAUUACUUAGCAAAUAUUGACUUAUUUUCACCCCACUUUCUUCAGAAAAGUCUCUUUCCCUUCCCCAUUGCUUUUAGACUUGACAUUAUAACUUAAUUGGUCAAAGGAGUGUAAGCAGAAGUGGCAGUGUGCCGGUUAGAGGCUUAUACUUUAAAAGUCACCAAAUCUUUCUGCUUGUCCCUCAGGAAGCUCCAGGACACUUUAAUGAGAAGAACAUGGCCUGGAGUGGCUGUUGUCCAUUCAGCUUUAGUCCAGAAUGAAUAUACACAGAGCAGAGCCACAGAACUGUGAGUGUGAGAAAAAUAUUUAUUGUAUGCCACAAAGUUUGGGGGUGGUUUGUCACCAAAAUAAGCUACCUGACAUCGUGCCAGGUUAAAUUCUUUGCUUAUGCCCCAGUUUAUUCAUAUUCUGGCCCAUGUCCUAAUUGGAAUACCCAGUCACUCUAAUUUUUAACUAAUGCUUAAUACUUUGUAUAUAGAUUCAAAACUAUAAUAAUCAUUGUUCAUUCAUUCAAAAGUGUACUAUAAAUAUUAAGUACAGAAGAAUAAAGGCCCAUGAUAUGAGACCAAUUCUCAAAGGUUAAAAAAAUAUAUAUAUAUGUGUGUGUAUAUAUAUAUAUAUAUAUAUAUGUAUAUAUGAAUAUGAAGAGGAUGGGAAAGUGAGGGAGAGAUUGAAUUUUGGUCAAUAAAAUCUUCAUUGUCAUUAUUGCAUCAUCAAUGUGUGCAAUGCUGGAGGCGAGUAAGGAAAAAGAAGAACUGAAAGCUACGAGGAAUUAUGAAAUAGAAAGUAAGAAUGUUAUAAACCAAAGAAUUCAUGUGUCAUUAUACUUGGAGCAAGUUAAAAGGGUCUUCAUCUUUGUAUACCUUAGGAUGGGUAAAAAAGCAUGGAUUUAUUUUGCUCUGACUUAUGUUGUUAAUGUUGUUAGUAUACUUCCUGAACAGAGGAAAAAAUUCUCUCUCUCUUGUCAUGUUGACAGCUUUUGCUACAUAAAUAGAUAGCUAUGUAGGCAGAUACUAAGGUGUGAACUUCCCCCAUACAUUUUAAUUGGAUGCUAGACUUGAAGUGUGGAAUUGAGCAUUUAAAUGGUAAAGGUGCCCAUCAAAUAAGCCCAGAUAUCUGCUUUAAGUCGGUGCAGUGGGCACUGCAGAGUUAACAGUGGGACUACUUUGUUGUAUAUUAGCAGCUGGCUUGUAGAUCCUAGAAGCAGACCUAAAGAGGGGUGUUUAUGUGACCUCUAGAGAAAACACGUCUUUCCACAUUUUUUUUUUUUCCAUCUUAAAUCACUUCUAGAACAGACUGCUUUGGAAAACAGCCUUUGAAUUUUAAGUUUUUUGCAGAUCAGAGAUAAGCACUUUGAUUAUUUUUUUACCUCCAGGCUUUUUUGUUUGUUUGUUUUUGGCACUAGUGAAAUAUGAGUUGAUUAAUAUUAGCUGACUCAUAAUUAAUCCAUUGAUUAAUUCACCAAAUAAAUAUUUACUUAGUGUUUACAAGGUUACGGACCCUGGAGUCAUUACAUAAAAAAGCACAGGAAUGGUCACUGUUAUCCUAAAGUUUAUAUUUGAAAAAACCAGUAAAUUAUUGAAAGGAGAAAUAUAUAUA
rnacentral:lncRNA from 1 species